rnacentral:lncRNA from 1 species
CUCAAGCUACUGGGUGUUUGGGUGCCUGGCAGAGAACCUACCACUUGGGCAGAGAUCAAACCUACCACUUGCGCUGGAAUCGAACCUGUGACCGUAGCCGGAGAGAGGAACUACCACUUGCGCUGGGAUCGAACUUGUGAGCGUAGCCUGGCAGAUUUGUUUGUUUGUUUGUUUUGAGUUUAACGCCGUUUUUCAACAGUAUUUCAGUCAUGUAACGGCAGGCUGUUAACCAAGAGAGAAACUACCACUUGUGCUGGGAUAGAACCUACCACUUGCGCUGGGAUCAAACCUGUGACCGUAGCCCGGCAGAGAACCUACCACUUGUGCUGGGAUUGAACCUGUGACCAUAGCCCGGCCUAGAACCUACCACUUUGGCUGGGAUCGAACCUACCACUUGUGCUGGGAUCGAACCUACCACUUGUGCUGGGAUCGAACCUACCACUUGCGCUGGGAUCAAACCUGUGACCAUAGCCCGGCAGAGAACCUUCCACUUUGGCUGGGAUCGAACCUACCACUUGUGCUGGGAUCAAACCUACCACUUGUGCUGGAAUCAAACCUGUGACCAUAGCCCGGUCGAGAACCUACCACUUGGACUGGGAUCAAACUUGCCACUUUCGCUGGGAUUGAACCUGUGACUGUAGCCUGGCAGAGAACCAACCACUUUGGCUGGGAUCGAACCUACCACUUGUGCUGGGAUCAAACCUACCACUUGCACUGGGAUCGAACCUGUGAUCGUAGCCCGGCAGAGAACCUACCACUUGCACUGGGAUCGAACCUACCACUUGUACUGGGAUCAAACCUGUGACCGUAGCCUGGCAGAGAGCCUACCACUUUGGCUGGGAUUGAACCUACCACUUGCGCUGGGAUCGAACCUGUGAACGUAGCCAGGCAGAGAACCUACCACUUUGGCUGGGAUCGAACCUACCACUUGUGCUGGGAUUGAUCCUGCAACUUGCGCUGGGAUCGAACCUGUGAUCGUAGCCCAGCAGAGAACCUACCACUUGAACUGGGAUCGAACCUACCACUUCUACUGGGAUCGAACCUGUGACCGUAGCCCAGCAGAGAACCUACCACUUGGCUGGGAUCGAACCUACCACUUGCGCUGGGACCAAACCUGUGAACGUAGCCCUGCAGAGAGCUAAGAACUUAGGCUGGGAUAUAACCUACCACUUGCGCUGGGACCAAACCUGUGACCGUAGCUGGGCAGAGAACCUACCACUUGGGCAGGGAUCGAACCUACCACUUGCGCUGGGAUCGAACCUGUGACUGUAGCCCGGCAGAGAGCACAGCACUUGGGCUGGGAUUGAACCUACCUCUCGCUGGGAUCGAACCUGUGACUGUAGCCCGGCAGAGAACCUACCACUUGGGUAGGGAUCGAACCUACCACUUGCGCUGGGAUCGAACCUGUGACCGUAGCCCGGCAAAGAACCUUACACUUGCGCUGGGAUUGAACCUACCGCUUGUGCUGUGAUCGAACCUGUGACCGUAGCCCAGCAGGGAACCUACCACUUGGGCCGGGAUCGAACCUGUGACCGUAGCCCGGUAGAGAGCCUACCACUUGGGCUGAGAUUGAACCUACCAUUUGCGCUGGGAUCGAACCUGUGACCGUUUGAUCUUGCUGUCCUUUAAAGUGUGAAACUAAAGCUACAAGAAAGUAUUGUUUUUAGUUUGGAUUGGAACUCUGCAUUGACUUAGCCAUUCUUAGAUAGAUGCCCCUAGAUAGGGAACUCUGCUUUGCCAGAUCCAUUCUUAGAUGCCCCCUUCUCUUUCAGGUAGAUAGGGAAUUAAAUUGUAGUCUAGAGAGUGGUUUGUGAGUGAGUUACCAGUAUGAUAGAAGCUUGGCCAAGCUAAUAUUUUGGUGUGUGAAUUUUAUGUUACAGGCAUCUGGUGAUUACAGGGAAGCAGAGAACCAACUAGUCAUGUUACUGUUUGGAUUCUGGCUCUGAUUGGUUAAUGUUUGAAUUGUAUAUUACAGGCAUCUGGUGAUUACAGAGAAUCAGCUAGUCAUGUUACUGUUUGGAUUCUGGCUCUGAUUGGUUAAUGUUUGAAUUUUAUAUUACAGGCAUCUGGUUAUUACAGGGGAGCAGAGAACCAACUAGUCAUGCUGCAGGGUGUGGAUGCCUUUGUUAUCAUUGAAGUCCUCAGACAGUACAGAGCAAUGAUCCUUGGCUGUUCAUGACUGGCUGAGGCACAGAAUGAGAAAGAGAAGAUUGAGAAUAAAGAAGAGUCUACAAGCCCUUCAGGCAAGAGAUAAAGAGGGAGAGGUCAAGGAGAGAUCAUGGAAGGAAAAGUCAAGUCGCAGCAGACAUAGAGGCCAUGGAUACAGAUGACACAUAGGACGAGGUUCAUUUAUUGUCUGAUGAAAGAGGACCAUUUUUAGAAUCUCCUAUUGACAGAAAGAUGGAAACUACACAAGAAGAUGUACGACUUGUUGGUCUCGGUGCCAUCUACCAAACUACGAGGAUGCAGCAACCUUCCUGAGCUUGGAACCGUCUGAAAGUCUGCACUUGUCCGACAACAGUUUCCGGCCUGUACCACUAGAACAACAGUUUAUCGAUAAAACAGUGUAGAAACCAGUGAAGAGGUUCCAGAUAAUGAAUGAGAUUGUAUAUGAAAAGGAUAUGGAGCAUGCAGACAAUAAUCAGGACUACAUUCCUGUGUGGAAGGAUUAAAAAACUACACCAGACUGGCGGCCAUGACAGAUG